rnacentral:rRNA from 2 species
CUGACCUCAAAUCAGGUAG